GCCAGGUGCAGUGGCACACACCUGUAAUCCAAGCAGCUUGGAAGGCUGAGAUAGGAGGAUCAUGAGUUCAAAGCCAGCCUCAGCAACUUAGGGAGGCCCUAAGCAACUCAGUGAGAUCCUGUCUCUA
rnacentral:sRNA from 1 species